rnacentral:rRNA from 1 species
GACGAACGCUGGCGGCGUGCUUAACACAUGCGAGUCGAACGGAAAGGCCCUGCUUUUGUGGGGUGCUCGAGUGGCGAACGGGUGAGUAACACGUGAGUAACCUGCCCUUGACUUUGGGAUAACUUCAGGAAACUGGGGCUACUACCGGAUAGGAGCUCCUGCUGCAUGGUGGGGGUUGGAAAGUUUCGGCGGUUGGGGAUGGACUCGCGGCUUAUCAGCUUGUUGGUGGGGUAGUGGCUUACCAAGGCUUUGACGGGUAGCCGGCCUGAGAGGGUGACCGGCCACAUUGGGACUGAGAUACGGCCCAGAUUCCUACGGGAGGCAGCAGUGGGGAAUAUUGCACAAUGGGCGGAAGCCUGAUGCAGCAACGCCGCGUGCGGGAUGACGGCCUUCGGGUUGUAAACCGCUUUCGCCUGUGACGAAGCGUGAGUGGCGGUAAUGGGUAAAGAAGCACCGGCUAACUACGUG